GCAGUCGAGCGAGUCUGCCUUGAAGAUCGGAGUGCUUGCACUCUGUGAAACAAGAUACAGGCUAGCGGCGGACGGGUGAGUAACACGUGGGUAACCUGCCUAAGAGAUCGGGAUAACACCUGGAAACAGAUGCUAAUACCGGAUAACAACAGAUGAUGCCUAUCAACUGUUUAAAAGAUGGUUCUGCUAUCACUCUUGGAUGGACCUGCGGUGCAUUAGCUAGUUGGUAGGGUAACGGCCUACCAAGGCGAUGAUGCAUAGCCGAGUUGAGAGACUGAUCGGCCACAUUGGGACUGAGACACGGCCCAAACUCCUACGGGAGGCAGCAGUAGGGAAUCUUCCACAAUGGACGCAAGUCUGAUGGAGCAACGCCGCGUGAGUGAAGAAGGGUUUCGGCUCGUAAAGCUCUGUUGUUGGUGAAGAAGGACAGGGGUAGUAACUGACCUUUGUUUGACGGUAAUCAAUUAGAAAGUCACGGCUAACUACGUGCCAGCAGCCGCGGUAAUACGUAGGUGGCAAGCGUUGUCCGGAUUUAUUGGGCGUAAAGCGAGUGCAGGCGGCUCGAUAAGUCUGAUGUGAAAGCCUUCGGCUCAACCGGAGAAUUGCAUCAGAAACUGUCGAGCUUGAGUACAGAAGAGGAGAGUGGAACUCCAUGUGUAGCGGUGAAAUGCGUAGAUAUAUGGAAGAACACCGGUGGCGAAGGCGGCUCUCUGGUCUGUUACUGACGCUGANNNUCGAAAGCAUGGGUAGCGAACAG
rnacentral:rRNA from 1 species